rnacentral:rRNA from 1 species
UACGUAGGGUGCAAGCGUUAAUCGGAAUUACUGGGCGUAAAGCGUGCGUAGGUGGUUUGUUAAGUCUGAUGUGAAAGCCCUGGGCUCAACCUGGGAACGGCGUUGGAAACUGGCUUACUAGAGUGCGGUAGAGGGGUGUGGAAUUCCCGGUGUAGCAGUGAAAUGCGUAGAUAUCGGGAGGAACAUCUGUGGCGAAGGCGACACCCUGGACCAGCACUGACACUGAGGCACGAAAGCGUGGGGAGCAAACAGG